UUUCUCAGUUCCAAACUCAUGUAUUACUUUCCCAUUGCCGCUGUAACAAAUUACCACAAACUUAGUGGCUUAAAACAACACAAAUAUAUUCUCUUACAGUUAUGGAAGUCAGAAGCCUAAAAUCUGUUUCACUGGGCUGAUGUCAAGAUGUUAGCAGACCUUCAUUCUUUCUGGAGGCUCUAGGGGAGAAUCCAUUUCCUUGCCUCUUCCAGCUUCUAGAGGCUGCCUGUAUUCCUUGGCUCCCAGCCCCUUCCUUCAUCUUCAAAGCCAGCAAUGGGCAGUGGAGUUUUUCUCAUGCAGCAUCCCUCUGAUGGUUCUCUUCUUUGUCAAACCUCUGUCUGUUUCCCUUAUAUAAUAACAUGUGUCAUUACAUCAGGCCCACAUGGGUAAUGCCAGAUAAUCUCCCCGUCUCAAGGUCCUUAACUUAAUCCCAUCUGCAAAGCCCCUUUUACCAUGUAAGUUAACAUUCACAUGUUCCAGGGAUCAGGCUGUGGACAUCUUUGGGGGGGUGCAUUCUCCACCCUACUACAAUCAUAAAUAUAUUUCCAGUGUCUCUAUGAAACAUUUCAUAAAUGUGUUUCUCCCGUAAGGCUGAGCAUUGCAGCCUCUAUUUAGUAAUUCUUUGUUUUCCUCUGUCAGUUGUCUUUUGAACAUAUUCGCUGAGAGAACACAGGAAAACUAGUAUGGGACACACACAUCAGUCCUCUUCUUGAAUAUUCCCAGUACUUGACUGAGAAAGAAAAUCUGAAAUUCCAGCGCCAAG